GACGAACGCUGGCGGCGUGCUUAACACAUGCAAGUCGAACGGAAAGGCCCUGCUUGCAGGGUACUCGAGUGGCGAACGGGUGAGUAACACGUGGGUGAUCUGCCCUGCACUUCGGGAUAAGCCUGGGAAACUGGGUCUAAUACCGGAUAGGAGCCAUUUUUAGUGUGAUGGUUGGAAAGUUUUUUCGGUGUAGGAUGAGCUCGCGGCCUAUCAGCUUGUUGGUGGGGUAAUGGCCUACCAAGGCGGCGACGGGUAGCCGGCCUGGGAGGGUGGACGGCCACAUUGGGACUGAGAUACGGCCCAGACUCCUACGGGAGGGAGCAGUGGGGAAUAUUGCACAAUGGGCGCAAGCCUGAUGCAGCGACGCCGCGUGGGGGAUGACGGCCUUCGGGUUGUAAACUCCUUUCGCUAGGGACGAAGCUUUUUGUGACGGUACCUAGAUAAGAAGCACCGGCUAACUACGUG
rnacentral:rRNA from 1 species